rnacentral:rRNA from 1 species
GACGAACCGUGCGAACGUUGUUCGGAAUCACUGGGCUUAAAGGGCGCGUAGGCGGGCGGCCGCGUCCGGGGUGAAAUCCCACGGCCCAACCGUGGAACGGCCUCGGAUACGGGCGGCCUCGAGGGGGGUAGGGGCAUCUGGAACUGUGAGUGGAGCGGUGAAAUGCGUUGAUAUUCACAGGAACUCCGGUGGCGAAGGCGAGGUGCUGGACCCCAUCUGACGCUGAGGCGCGAAAGCCAGGGGAGCGAACGGG